rnacentral:rRNA from 1 species
AGAGUUUGAUCAUGGCUCAGGAUGAACGCUGGCGGCGUGCCUUAUGCAUGCAAGUCGAACGGUCUCUUGGCCCGCAAGGGUUCAAGAGCAGUGGCGAACGGCUGAGUAAUACAUAAGUAACCUACCCUCGAGUGGGGAAUAAUUCUUCGAAAGAAGGACUAAUUCCGCAUAGCCUGGCCCCUCAUAAGAGGAGUCAGCAAAGGCGAAAGUCGCUUGAGGAGGGGCUUGUGUCCUAUCAGGUAGUUGGUGAGGUAAAGGCCCACCAAGCCUAUGACGGGUAGCUGGUCUGAGAGGAUGUACAGCCAGAUGGGGACUGAGAAACGGCCCCAACUCCUACGGGAGGCAGCAGCAGGGAAUCUUGCGCAAUGGGCGAAAGCCUGACGCAGCGACGCCGCGUGAGGGAUGAAGGCCUUAGGGUCGUAAACCUCUUUUUAUGGGGACGAGCAAGGACGGUACCCAUAGAAUAAGCCCCGGCUAACUACGUGCCAGCAGCCGCGGUAAUACGUAGGGGGCAAGCGUUAUCCGGAUUUAUUGGGCGUAAAGGGCUUGUAGGUGGCCAGUAAAGUCUUUUGUGAAAUCUCCCGGCUCAACCGGGAGGGGUCAAGAGAUACUCAUUGGCUUGAGGGAAGCAGAGGAGAAUGGAAUUCCCGGUGUAGUGGUGAAAUGCGUAGAUAUCGGGAGGAACACCAGUGGCGAAAGCGAUUCUCUGGGCUUAACCUGACACUGAGGAGCGAAAGCGUGGGGAGCAAACCGGAUCAGAUACCCGGGUAGUCCACGCCAUAAACGAU